GCCUGGAUAGCUCAGUCGGUUAAGCAUCUGACUUCGGCUCAGAUCAUGAUCUUGUAGUUCGUGGGUUCGAGACCCGCAUCUGGCU
rnacentral:tRNA from 1 species